rnacentral:misc_RNA from 1 species
AAAAAAAAAAAAAUAACACAUGUAAUAUAUGAAAGCUUUACAAAAAUUACAUUAGCAGGAAAUCUCAAUUGCUAAGGGGAUUGAAUAAAGGAAUUAUGGCAAUGUUCAAUCAAGUUCAUUUCUGAUUUCAACUCCAUAAAAGCUUGUCAUCAAUGUUAGUUUGUCAAUUCAAUUAAGUGCAGUUUUGAAGUACUUAACAAUUUCCAAAUUUUCAUUGAUUACAAAGCAACGCAAUGUUGGGUAUAUAAAUAAAGUACAAACCAGAUCAAUAGGCAUUUAAUUGUAAUAUGUAAUCAAAAGGUUUCCAAAUUAAGAAACAAAAAGCAAGCCCAGGUAGAGCCAAAAUUCGUUAAAAUUUUACUUCACUAUAAUUAUAAAGGAUAGCGAUACAAUAUCUGGGAUUCCAGAAAAUUGCGUAAGCAACCCGCAAAAUUCCAAAACAGAAACAGAUAUUGCGCAGUGUUUUCGUCCGAGUCAACGGUUAAGAUCCAUCUAUCACUCACGUUCUGAUAUGGAGCCCACUAAUGAGUGGUCAACAUUUCAUUUUUAACGAGGCAUACAUAUAAGAUGAAACCUAAAUAUAUAGAUUAAAAUUAGAAAAAUAUAUGUGAGAAUUUUUUUUUACCCUCCAACUUCUGUUUGUUUCGAGGGAAAACUAUUUUAAUGGUAAAUUUUUCUGAGAGAUGAAUUACAAUAUCUUCUCGAACCGAAUAGGAAAGACGUGAUAAAUGUAUACAUCCCUCAAGGACCUUUCAAUAACUAAAACUACCCAGAAACCUGCUUUCCACGGAACCAAUACAAAAUCUAGAGAAUCAACAAUUAGCUAGUGAAAUCCCAGGUAUUCCUCAUGAAUAAAAUGUUAAAACUAGAAGAUGGAUCCAGUAAAAUCCCAGUUCAAUACAGACAACAAAUAACAGCAUUAUAGAAAAUUAAAGAUUACCCAGUCACGUAGUUAAGCUAAUGAAGCCACAGGCAUAAAAAGAGGAAAACAAUGAAAUUGAUCUAUACCUGGACAUGCUUGGCUCUAACAUA